GACGAACGCUGGCGGCGUGCCUAAUACAUGCAAGUAGAACGCACAGUUUAUACCGUAGCUUGCUACACCAUAGACUGUGAGUUGCGAACGGGUGAGUAACGCGUAGGUAACCUGCCUGGUAGCGCGUGAUAACUAUUGGACACGAAACCUAAUACCGCAUAAUAUUAAUUAUUGCAUGAUAAUUAAUUGAAAGGUUCAAUUGCAUCACUACCACCUGGACCUGCGUUGUAUUAGCUAGUAGGUGAGGUAACGGCUCACCUAGGCGAAGAUACAGAGCCGAACUGGGAGGGUUGACGGCCACGCUGGGAAUGGGACACGGCCCAGACUCCCUCAGGGAGCAGCAGGAGGGAAACUUUGGGAAUGGACGGAAGUCUGAACGGGCAACGCCGCGUGGGGGGAGAAGGUUUUCGGAUCGUAAAGAUCUGGUGUAAGGGAAGAACGGAUGGGAGAGGUGAAAGUUCACGCUGUGACGGUACCUUACCAGAAAGGGACGGCUAACUACGUG
rnacentral:rRNA from 1 species